UAGAUAUGGGCCUAAAGUGAUUUGGAA
rnacentral:sRNA from 1 species